GACGAAUCUCCCCAUCAUUCCUCUAUAUACAAAGAUUUUUCUGUGUCCAAGACUUUUUAUUUCCAUUCAUUAACUCUUUUAUUGCUAGUUUUAUUUCUUUUUAUUACAAAGUUUCUUAUGUGCAUUCAUUAUACUUGUUAUUUUUACUGAUAUUUCUUCAUGUACUUAUACUUUUAUUCCAUUUUUCUCCAUUUACCACUAUAUUAUUACAUAUAACCAAAAGAGGCCCUAAACCUACGAGGGUCAUAUAACACAACAGGGCAGGGAGUAGUGCAGGAUCAUAGAAAAGUAAGGGUGGAGAGGAUAACAGAGGAGAGUUAGAAAGGACUGUGAGGAUUGCUAAAGGAAGGAUUAUCAAAGUUUGUGUAAUAAGUCAGUUGCUGUUAACCACUACCAAAUCUACUACUGUUUCAUUUUGUAUACUCAAAAUGCUGUACCACAAAUUGGGAUUAAACUAAAUUUUUCUGUGGUGAGGUCAUGCUAGUAUAGCCAGGGUAUACUGACUAUCUCAACUUUCCACAGGAAUGACACCACUGGAUGUUGCCAAGGCCACAAACAAAUCAGAGAUCAUUAGUCUCAUUGAAGGACACAAUGCAGCUGGCUGCAAGUAGGACAUUUAACUCUCGAAGAAGAUUCGUCCUCAUCUUCCCAUCUUAUUUAUUGAAGCAUUUGGUUGCAUACAUCACCAGCAAGAAGUUGCCUUAAAUCUCCGAUCACACAUCUUCCUGGGAGAUUUGUUUUUUAACAAUGGCCAUUUCCAAGCAAGGUAGAGUGACCCGUCGCAGUUAAAGUGAAGGUGUUGUAUUGUAUUCAUGAUUAUUAAACUGUGCGUGUUACUAAGCCCUCAUAUCACAAGACUAAAUAUCAAAAUUGUUUAAAAUAACUAUUUUUCUAACACUCAUACUCAUUGCUGUUGUAAUAUAUUACCAUCAUUUUCUUACAUAACUGCUUUAGACAUGAAACAUUAUGGGUCUUCUAGCCAUAAGACUGAAUCUUUUCUAAGGUUGUCCAAAAGAGAUUUAUAUGCACAUGUGAUGACCAGUUUAAAAUCAAUGCCUACCUCAUUCCUAAUUACUUACUGUAGUUAGUGUAAACUUAAUUGAAACUGGCAUUAUGCCUCUUGCUUUUUUUUGGGGGGAUGCAUGAAAUACUUGUAUACGUUACUAUAGCUCUCUUGUAAUUACGAACUUUUCUACCAUUAAUUUCUACUCAAGGAAAAAAAAUAUGUACGUAGUUUAAUUUUCUGUGUAGUUUAGCACAGAGAGAUGAUUCUGAGCCUUUAAGCCAAACGUGUGAUAAUCUGCAUAGUUGUUAUACAGUAGUUUAUAAAUUCAAUUUUAUACAUCCUAACACUGUUAUUUGUAUUAAUGUAUAAUCAAUACCUUUGUAUGAUACCACAUACUGGCGUAUGUUAUGAUGUCUUUUAACAAGAAUAACAUGAAAGAACAACUUUUAUAUUUGACAUUAAAUUCAUUAAUCCAUAUCAAAAUGCUUUUGUUAAGCCAGCUGGCUAGUUGUGAUUAAUGCAAGCACCUCCUGCUGCAUUAUCCUGUAACACAAUUUUAGAUUAUUAUUUAAAGUGUUGUGGGGCAAAACAGCUUCUUUUAUAGCAGUCUUGGUUUUAUGGGCAGGAUUUUCAGUGUUAACUUAAAAUGCAAUAUUGCACUCCUUUUAUUAACAUGAAAACACUAAGAAAAGGUAAUAAAGAGUAAACUUUUAAGAAUAUGCUAGCUCUUAUUAGAACCCCCACCAUACUAUAUUCACAAUAUUCUCUAAAAUGAAAAUUAUUCCAGAGCAAAAAUUUGAUGCUGAAAAAUUCCUUCAAGACAAGAUAAGAGAAGGGGCAUCCUAUUUCAAUUUCAGUCAUUCUCCUAUUUUUUAAACAAAGUCAUACUCAAUGCAAAUUCUAAUACCCAAUACACUUGUCCCCUGCUCAGCAUCCAGGAUGCUUUCUAGAGAAAUUGGUUACCACAUGAACCCCAGUUUUCCAAAGACACCCAUGUUAAAAUUAGACAUGUAUUCAGCAGGGAAAAUUUCCUGUAUACUCUUUAUAUUAACACUGAAAUUAUACAGAUUCUGUACUCCCCAGAGAGGCUUCCUUUUUUUGGGUUGACAACUUGUCAAAAUGCAGCAUGAAAAUGAUCGUUACUGUAGUGUAGAACAACUGAAUUAUGAUAGUUUAAAUGGAGAAAGCUGUUAAGACUGAAUGGAAAGUGAGUUUGGUUAGACUGAAUGGAGAGAGCAUUUAAUUAGACUAAUUGGAGAAUGCGUUUGAUUAGGCAAUGGAGAAAAAAUUUCGAUAAAUAAACUGGGGAAUGAGUUUCGUUAGACUUGAAUGCAUUUGAUUAGACUGAAUGGAGAGUGAACUUGAUUAAACUGAAUGGAGAGUGAGGAAGUUAUGUUAGACCACUGUGAUCCUAAUCACUAACUCAGGUUUGCACUCACCUUUGUUGGCCAACAACUUGGAAUGUUAUAAAAUAAUGGACUGAUAAUCUGGGAGUACAUGGGCAUCUGGAAUAACAAAAUGUUAGUGGCUAGUGAUGUCCAGUGAAGCAAUACAAAUGAACAGUGAAGACAGGAAAUAAUGACCAGAGAGCAGUUAUGUGCUGUUAUUCUGUGCCCAGUUAGACAACGAGAUGCAAUAACAAAUUAGUGUUUAGUGAAAUAGAUCGACUGAUUUGUGCUGCUGAUGCAAAACUGUAAUUUAUAUAAUAUUUAAUUUUUGCUAAACCCAUCACUUACUGCUCUAUACUUAUCAAUAAAACUAUGACUGUA